AUACAUGGCACCUGCCUGCACAUCUGGCUCUUCUGCUUGCACUUAAGUAGACACACAGGCUUACUAGAGUUACCAGGUAAUGGAAAAGGACCGGAUAAGGAGGUCUGCCGGCCAUGUCUUCUGGCCAUGCUGCCAGUUCUUUAAUGCAAAUCCUCAGCACUGAAGAUUACUGAGUUGGGUAAUGUUCACUCAAGGCUGCAAACACUUCCAGGAAUUGUUUCACUGAUUUAUGAGGAGAGGUUGUGCAGUCCAGCUGCACAUUAGAGCAACCGAUGUCUGCCACAGGGCUAUAGAAGAUGCACUGGCCUCUGUCAGUAAGUGAGCCUGAUGUCUAAGGGUAUUGAAGAGAGAGGGACUGAAAGAAAUGGGGUACCAUAUCCACGUCACCCAAGAAACCACGCUGUGAAUGCUGCGAAGUACAAGCAGGAUCGAAGAGUCAGACCCACACCAUUCCUGCUCGCGAUGACACCCUGGCAUCUGAAGAACAACAUGACACCCACCACAAAACGCUGCUGUUGGCUAGCGCUGUCUUAAACGGGUAGUUGUGGUUUAAUCGUUUCUUCUACCCCUAUAAAGUAAAAGGCAAAGCUAACAGUUACCAUAUGGUAAAGGUAUGAUUCAAAGCCCUGCGUAGUGAGUGCCACGAGGACAAAUAUGCACGCACAAUUAUCUCCGUGCUGAGAGAUGGGGCUGAAUGUAGGUAUGUAUAUACAGUGAAGUCUGUGACUUCAGUGACUUCUGUAAGGAGGUGAAGGCAAGCUCCCAGCGAACUAACAGCCUCCACAGAUGAUCCUUUAUGAACGUUUUGCAUUCGGUGUACUUUCCCUUAAGGCAGCGUGAUGUAUCCCAUCACACACGUGUAUACGUGUGUGUGUGUGUGCAGAGACACUGGGAAUGUCUUAUGUGCAUAUUACACAACAUAUGCCAUUCGUGUAAUCACUUUAGAUAUAUAAAUAAAAUUCGUUUUAUAUACAUAAAUAAAAUAUGUGAAGGUAUUCCUUAAAGGAGCCAUAAAGGCCCACGUGUAGGUGGAUUCUUCAUCACAUCCAAAGAACUGAAAGACCGGGGAUAUAAAGCGGAAUCUUUUUAUAUGAGCGUGUAUCUCUUAUAAUCUCUCCAUAAAAUCCACAUGGCUGCAUAACCACUUCCAGAGAUGCGGAUGGAAGUUAUACCUGGACAGCCCGAAAGCCUUUAAUAAGUAAAGCAGCAUAUAAUCCUAUGAAAUGCCUUUCAGGAGUGAAAUAAUUACAAAGCGCUGGAGCAAGAGCAGCAAACAGCAGGAAAAUCACCUGUGAAUAGAUGUGAGAAACUGGAAGUGUACUCCAGUGUUUGUGUGGUCAUCAAAAUCAAACGUUCAGGAGCUGGAAAUCCAACUGCCGGGAGGGCAGACUGAUACAUUUAUAGGCACGUAUAGCCCGUGCCUUAAACUUUGAGUCUGCAACGUUGUUAGUGAGGUAUCCUCCUUUAUAAUGCUUGGCAUUUGUUCCCUUGGCAUUUAAAGAAGAUGGGCUGUUUUAAUUACAAUUUGAGCGAAUUCUUUAAAAGAAAAAAAAAACCAAACUGCAAAAUGACUGAUGCAAAUCCCGGCCACUCGUGAGCACAAUGAAAUUCUACUGAGCAGAGAGGACACCGGGAGAGGCUCCCGAUCAGCUGCAGCAGAGAAUGCCCUGCGCUACGCAGCCCUCAGACGCCGGGAUUCUGAAAUACGAAUUAGACCUCAAAUGCAAAUCAACCUCCGAAGGGGGAGAAGGAAAAAAAAAAUAAUAAAAAAAAAAAAUCAGAGAGACAUACCGAGUCAAACGCUCCUUUUUCUGCCUAUCUCGUCCCCAGUGUUAAAACAGGCAAAACAAAACAAGUGCACAUCAAGAUAGAGCCAAUUAAGGGGAAGGCAGCUCGGAGGGCGGGUGGGAGGCAGCCACCUCGCCGAGCACAUGGGGAGCGGGAGCGCAUCGCCCCACCUCGAGCCGUCCCUGAGCCUUCCGAGCUCUCCCAGGAGGACAACGGGGAGAGGAAGUAGCUGAGACAGGACGUGGAGCCGAGAGAGCUGCCAGUGGCCACCCAGGCCCCGCAACCCUUGUGAGGGGCAGGGAUGGCGGUGGUAUGGCCACAGGGGCCAUGCGUAGCAAGCCACGUGUCCCCAGCAAAACGACUGUUCCCUUCCUUCAUUCAUUCCCCCAGCUGAAGGCAUUUUCCCUCUGGAGCACAUCCUCCCAAAGGCUUUUUGAAGCAUUCACCUCCACGUAUUUGUAUUUAUUUCCCCAGCCCAGCAUUCGGUCAGGCUGCUCUGAGUGGGGAUCGCAGGUGCCAUCAUGGAGGCCCACGGUGAGCACCUGCCAAUGCAAAGGGGGCAUAUCCCCCACGCUGACCACCGUCAUCACUGCUGUGUGCUCACAGCUUAUUUGUGCCCGUGCCUGCGUGCGAAACACAUGUGCACAAGCACACAUGUCUGUGGAUAUGCAUAUAUCCAAUAGCGGCGGCCCUGGUAAGCAGAGCGGUGAUUUCUCUCCUCCAGAUAGAUGUAUAAUGCACACACACGGCGAUGAUACCUAAGGUGUUUGGGGGUGGGGAUGCAUAAUAUCUUCUAAAUUUGAAGUUUUUAUCAGGCAGAGCAGAUUACUUUAAGCGUUCCAUUUCUCAGCGAUCCAAUUUUAUUAGGAUUUACUAUCAUUUGUGCUGGGCAUCCCUGGGGAAAUAAUGCUUUGAUUAAUGUAAUCCUGGGCUGGGAUCCGCCACAUGCCCCUCUCCCUGGAGAAGGGCCCUGUUUGACAAACAACAACAGAGCAGCAACUCUUGCAAUCCGCGCUCACCUUUAGGAAACACGCGGCCACGCUCGCACAGAACGCUGCCACCGCCUCCCCCCCAUAGCCCAGGCACAAUAGCAGCGCUGCGAAACAAUGUGCGCUCAUUCAUUUGCACACAAUGCCCGCGAUUCAGUGCGGGGCUGUACGGCCCAACCCUCGGCUGCACGGAGCCAGCCCAGAAAGGACACCGCUCCGCUCCCCGCUGGGAAGCCGCAGCAUCUCGAGGAGCUCAAUGCCUCUCUGUAUUGCAGCUCUCCGUGGGCUCACAGCACUUCUGUCUCUUUGUUUCCCGCUUCAGGCCUCGCUGCAAACUGAUUUCCAGGCUGUGACCCGCCCCCCCCCACCCCCCCCCGGGCCAGAGGCUCCCCCGGAGAGUGCGGUCAGAACGUAUGGAUCCAUUUCUCUGCCUUUUGGGGGUGUUCCGGCCACUGCCACGCACGUUUGUCCGUGCCAAAGGCUGGCAGGGGCUGUUGUGUUAUUCACGUGGGUCUGGGGGAAUACACACGCCCAGGGCAAGAGGCCAACGCCAGGUGACCCGACGCUCCUCCCUCCCUUCACCCCCGAGCGGUCAAAAUGGCAAUAUAAUGAUUAUUUCUACCCCAAACACGCGGGUCCCGCUGCACCCAAGGAGAGUGACAAAGGCCACGCGUGGGCUACUCUACUUCGAGCGUGAAUUGUCAAACCCGGGGACAGAGGAGGGAGGGGUGCUCUGGGGUUCACCAUAGGGCGCCGCUGUGUGCGCGCACGCCGCUGACCCCGACGCGGUGACUCAGCGCUGCGGUGGCUGAGCGGCCGCACGGGGGGUCCCCCCCCUCCCUCCCUCUUUUCUUUCCUGAUGAAAAACGGUGCAGUUCCGUCUCUGCGUGCUGGUCGGGGAGUCCAGCUAACACGCCUUAAACGCGUUGUCAGGCGCUGGUUAAAGAAGGAAGGCGGGGGGGGGGGGGGGGGGGGGAAGAGAGAAGGGGGCAAAACCAGGCGUGCAGUGUUGUGCGUGCCCGGAGUGCGCCUCUCUCCCUUCCCUCUCCCUCUUCUCUCACCACGGGCUCCAUCCCCCGUUCCCCACUUCCCUCCACUCCUGCACACCGCUGCCGCCGGGCUGGGGGGGUCCCCUCCUCUGCGGGGCGGGGGGGGGGGAGACGAUGGAUAACGUUAACUUCGGGCUGUGGUGGAGUUGAGCUGAGCUGCGGGCAACGUGCCACGAACGCUUCGAAGUACCCCGCAGCAGAGAAUGGAUAGAUCGGGGGAGCGGGUGUGAAACGCGCACGUAGAAACUCAACGCACGGCAGUGUAAACCCCCCAAAGCGGGUUAAAUCAAUCCCAAUACGGGGAGAUGAAAUAAAAAUAAAUAAAUAAAUAAAUAAAUAAACAAAGCAGGGUAAAAGCGUGGCUGCCGCAUUCACGCACGGAGAGAGGAGCCGGCAGCGUGUGCGUGUUUGUGUGCGGUGCCAAAAAGAGCAGCUUCCAGGUCGACCCGCCGCAAUCUGCACCGCGCUCCUCACACAAUGGCCAAGUUCACAUGGCAAAAAUUGUAAUAAUAAGAGCAGAGCCGCCAAACUGCGCCCGGGCUGCUUUCUGGUGCGCCACAAUUCUUCUCCUCCUUAUCCACUACGAGACUGCCCGUCCCUGCGCGCGUAAAAGAAAAUCUAUGCAGUGCAUAUGGAUCUUUCUCCCCCCCCCCACCCCCCCCCCUUUUUUUUUCACAUGUGAAACGCCAUUGAGAUGGCGAGCACGCAAAUGGGAAUGCUAUCAUGUCUCAUAAAAGCGGGGCUACGGUUUUCACCGUCUUUUAAGACAGACUCCAACUUGCAAAUCCCCCUUUUUAUGUCCCUACGUGCAGAAUUAUUCCUAUAAACACAAACGUGCGUGUGCGAGGAGCUGCUGGGUAACAGCACGGCCCCGCGAUUUUAACGUCGAAGGGAGCACCGGGUUUCCAUCCCGUGUACCGAGAGGGUCAGCGGAGACCGUUCCCAUCCUUGAGCAACUUUCGUCUCAGGGUGGGGUGAGCCCGGCAGCGGCACCUCGGGAAACUGCGCGGUUACGGAGCUGCGAUGGACGGAUCCCGCUUUAGAGCCUCUCUGGCUUUGCGCGUUACUGCUCAAACGUAUCGCAAAACCAGAAACGCUUUGUGACACCCAAAACAAUAAAAGAAGGUGCAGAGCGAAGCCUUCGCAAUAAAGGGACGGGUAACCGAUCCCAUCGUGCUUAUCGUUGCCGUCGUGAGUAACGUGCGUGUUUUCCUGUUCCCCCAGGGCGGACGGCGCCGUCCAACCUCCCGCAGCCACGAGCACAGCGGAUCCGGCACGGGAGAGUUCGGGCAGCGCGGAGCGGUGCGCUUCGGCCAAGGGUGGCACCGGGAUCCCAGCGCAGUGCCGCACUCCGCGCGGCCGGGCUUUACGCACAGCGCAGUACGCGGGAGGUGUCUUUACGUUUAACGUUUUAAUUUGGACAUGCUAAUUAGGCUGUGGGUCUCCACGGUUCUAUCGGCGGAUAGCUGAUCGCUUCCCUCUGCGAGGAAGUGACUGCUAAAUACAUUUCCCGGCCCCGAUCUCCGUUCCCAGAAGCCCGUCUAGCAGAACCGUCCCGUCGGGCGAAACGGACCUUUAAUAAUGGAAGGCCGAGGGAGGUUCUGCGCAGCGGCGCACCGCCUCGGGCACGGCCCCAACGCGGCCCUCUGCAGCGGAGCCAUCGAAAUAACUCCGUGCCCAGCGAACUUGUUGCUCGCUUUCAGCUCCUCCGCUCACCCCGGCUCGGGUCGGUGCCAGGCGAGGGGCAGAGGCAGCCUGGGGGAGAAGCCGCCGCUGUCGGGGUGAGAAACUUCCCGGGCUCCAAAGCCGCCCGCUCUGGGCGUCGAGGGGCAGCGGCCGCUCCGCUGCUGGGAACUGCGCCCUGGCCAUGUGUUUUUCCCGUGUGGAACGUUGCUCGCAAGUGCGGGAGGUGGAAAGUUUUGUUCACGUCAUUAUCUCAAAGCUUUCCCCGCGCGGUCAGUGGACGCAGAGGCUUCACUCCGUUUUCCGAAUGAAAACCCACGGACGCUUGAUGUGAAAAGUGCAUGCUCCCGUGGGCCGUGCUUUCCCCGAUUACUUUCUUUUUUCUUUUUCUUUUUUUCUUUCACUUUCUUGGCUCCGUCCCGCCAGGAUCUCUACGUUUACGGGCUGUACGGUUUCCAGGGCUCCAAUGGGGCUUUCCCUGAUGGAGGCGAGGAACAGAACUUUCCCACUCGCUCGGAAACUGCCGAGGAUCCGGCGGGGGGAGCACACAAAGAGGCCCCAAAUCCCCCCCGGGGCUCAGGGACAUCCCCUGCAGGUGCAGGACCAAAGCUGCAGGGAUGGCCCAAAGCGGUGCAUGUGUCGCUCUCGUCCCCUAUUAUGAGCGCUACGGGAGUGAAACGGGGGGUGGGGAGCGGGUUCUUGGGACAGCGGUUCUUGAGCCCACGCACGUUGGUGAAGGGAAACGCGGGGCCGUGCGCGCCGUCGGGCUGAGCCAGGGUUAAUGCCUGCGGGCCCAGACACGCUGUGCUCCGGGGGGGGGGGGGUGGUGGUGGCGAGGGGGCUCUGCCAGCUGCUCCCGCAGCGUGGGGAGCGGGAGGGGCGGAAAGGAGGAGCCAUCAGCUUAGGGCACACAAAAACAUUUAAAAAAAUAAAAUAAAAAAAAUAUAUAAAAAGACUACUUUUCCAGGCUUAACACAGCCAUUAAAUAUUAAAAGUUCAAAAAAAAUUAUAUAUAUAUGUAUAUAUAUAAAAGACCACGAGUCGUUUUAUUGCAUCUCCACGGGCUUAAGCGCUUUAUUUGGGCGAUAAAAAAUAUUAAAACAAACAAAUAAAUAAAUCAAAAUCGUGUGUGUAAUUGGUGCCCUCACUCCCUUGACGGCCUCGGAUCCCUCGCAGGUAUCGCCCCCCGAUCCCGCAGCUCCACCCCCAGCAAUCCCG
ensembl:lncRNA